UACGGAGGGUGCAAGCGUUGCUCGGAAUUACUGGGCGUAAAGCGCGUGUAGGCGGUCUCGUGUGUCUGGCGUGAAAGCCCCGGGCUCACCCCGGGAAGUGCGUUGGAAACUGCGAGACUAGAGUUCCGGAGAGGAAGGUGGAAUUCCAGGUGUAGCGGUGAAAUGCGUAGAUAUGUGGAAGAACACCGGUGGCGAAGGCGGCCUUCUGGACGGUGACUGACGCUGAGACGCGAAAGCGUGGGGAGCAAACAGG
rnacentral:rRNA from 1 species